AGGGAAGCCUUCUUUUACAAAGAAACAUGCAGAUCUUUUGUUCGUUCCAGAUUUUGCCGAAGACUUUCCAGUUGCAAUGCAGAUAUCCCACAAAUAAAGUUUGAUCUACGUGAUCACCAAGCUUGGGCUAUUAUUUGUUUAUGACUUGGAGACCGUUACUGCAGUUUAUAGAAAUAGAAUCUGUCCAGAUCCAAUAUUUUUGAUAGUAGCUUCACCAGUGGGAGGUUUUUUAUGCAAUCAAUAAGCAUGGACAGGUGUUAUUGGCUACUGUAAAUGAUCAAACAAUUGUACCAUUUGUCGUGGCCAGUUGAACAAUUUGGAGCUUGCUGUCAAUCUUGCCAAAAGAGGGAAUCUUCCUGGAGCCGAGCAGCUUGUUGUCCAACGUUUCCAAGAACUAUUUUCCCAAACAAAGUACAAAGAAGCUGCAGAACUUGCUGCCGAGUCCCCCCAAGGAAUCCUCCGGACACCAGACACAGUUGCCAAAUUCCAGAAGAACCUGAUCCGUGAGGCAAUGGCUUUUCUAUUAGACGUUUUGAAGCCAAAUCUUCCUGAACAUAGUUUCCUUCAAACAAAGAGUCUUUCAGCAGUGAGUACUUCUGGCUCAUCUUUUGCACAACAUUUUGAUGCAUAGAUGAAGAGAUGAAGAACGGUUGAUUUAGGUACUUAUAUUGUUGUUUUCUAUUCGAAAUUAUAAUCCUCAUUUAGCGGCAAAA